rnacentral:rRNA from 1 species
UACGUGAGGGGCAAACGUUGUUCGGUGUCACUGGGCUUAAAGGGUGCGUAGGUGGUUGCGUAAGUAACGUGUGAAAUCCCCCGGCUUACCCGGGGAAUUGCGCGUUAUACUGCGUAACUUGAGGACUGUAGGGGAAUGGGGAACUCCAGGUGUAGCGGUGAAAUGCUUAGAUAUCGGGUGGAACACCAGUGGCGAAGGCGCUGCUCUGGGCCGGUACUGACGCUGAGGAGCGAAAGCGUGGGUAGCAAACAGG